UUGCAAUUAAAAAUAGUGCAUAUAAAAGCAGCAAAAAUGGAGACAUUUCAAGUCAGUUGAGCAUAACAGGUGAUAUUUGAAGGUGAAAAUGCAAUGGGCAUGGACCAGAUUCUUAUGUUGCAAAACAUUGCGAUUCUGGGUAGGAGGCACUGACAUUCAAGUCGUUGAGCAUAAGAGAUGAUAUCGGGAAGGUUGGAAUUGAGCCAUGAACUGAUAAGCAAGAGGUUGAAGGCCAGAGAGAGAGAGAGUUUUUCAAUUUGGCAAGGACAAUCUGUAGAGAUUGGGAUGGACAGCGAGGUAUGCAGUAUGCUUCGAGAACACCAA
rnacentral:lncRNA from 1 species